GGCUCAGGACGAACGCUGGCGGCGUGCUUAACACAUGCAAGUCGAACGGGAGUAUUGAAGAAGCUUGCUUUAGAGAUACUUAGUGGCGGACGGGUGAGUAACGCGUGAGGAGCUGUCCUAUGCAGGGGGACAACAGCUGGAAACGGCUGCUAAUACCCCAUAAGCCGAGAGGUAAAAGGAUCAAUCCGGCAGAGGAGGUACUCGCGUCCUAUCAGCUAGUAGGUGAGGUAACGGCUCACCUAGGCGAAGACGGGUAGCCGGCCUGAGAGGGCGAACGGCCACACUGGAACUGAGAUACGGUCCAGACUCCUACGGGAGGCAGCAGUGGGGAAUAUUGGGCAAUGGGGGAAACCCUGACCCAGCGACGCCGCGUGGGUGAAGAAAUCCUUCGGGAUGUAAAGCCCUGUUGUAUGGGAAGAGCGGAAGACGGUACCAUACGAGGAAGCCCCGGCAAACUACGUGCCAGCAGCCGC
rnacentral:rRNA from 1 species